rnacentral:rRNA from 1 species
UACGUAGGGACCAAGCGUUGUUCGGAUUUACUGGGCGUAAAGGGCGCGUAGGCGGCAAUUCAAGUCAUCUGUGAAAUCUCCGGGCUUAACCCGGAACGGUCAGGUGAUACUGUUUUGCUAGAGUGCGGAAGGGGCAAUCGGAAUUCCCGGUGUAGUGGUGAAAUGCGUAGAGAUCGGGAGGAACACCGGUGGCGAAGGCGGGUCUCUGGGCCGUAACUGACGCUGAGGAGCGAAAGCGUGGGGAGCAAACAGG